rnacentral:rRNA from 1 species
UACGAAGGGUGCGAGCGUUGUUCGGAUUUAUUGGGCGUAAAGCGCGCGCAGGCGGAUUAAUAAGUCAGGUGUGAAAUCUCGGGGCUCAACCCCGAAACUGCGCCUGAAACUGUUGAUCUAGAAUCUCGGAGAGGGUAGGGGAAUUUCUUAUGUAGGAGUAAAAUCCGUAGAGAUAAGAAGGAACACCAGAGGCGAAGGCGCCUGCCUGGACGAGUAUUGACGCUGAGGCGCGAAAGCGUGGGGAGCAAACAGG